rnacentral:lncRNA from 1 species
CCUAAUCCCUGCAACCUGUGGAUGCUACUUUCAUGGCAAAAUAAUUUUGUAGGUGUUAUUAAGUUAAGGUCUUGCUAUGGGGAGAUUAUCCUGGAUCAUCCGAGUAAGUCAAGUGGGAUUACAAAGGUCCUUUUAUAUGGUACAGGGAACACAAGGAGGCAGAAAGAACUGUGUCCCAAUGUUGUGAGAAGAGAAAGACACAAUGAACCACUGCUGGCUUUGAAGAUGGAAGAGGGAGCUGCAACCCAAAGAAUGCCUCUAGAAGCAGGAGAAGGCAAGAAACAGAUUCUCGCCUAGAGCUUCCAGAAAGGAGCACAGUGCCAGCACUUUGAUGUUAGCCAUUCUUAAGGUGUGGAUUUCUCUUCCACAUGCCAGUGGCAUGGUGCGAAGUAGGCUAUUUUCCUUUACUGACAAUCUAUAGAUUUGUGGCCCAGAAUUUCUGUGGUCUUGAAGUAUUCAGUGCUGGGCAGAGAGAUGUUCUCUGAUUCCAUGUCCCUGUUUUUGUCAAAGACUCUUUAGGUGGUGGGAGAAGAGUAGGGAAUUGGACUGGGGACGUGGGGGUGCACAAGGAAGUCUGGAUUUGGAACUAUGAAGACGGAAUGGGCACAUUUAUUGGAAAGCUGGGUCCAAGAUGUUUGUCUUUCAUGUACACGAGUAUGUGUCUAUGAUGGAGCUUUCUUCUAGGAAGUUUUUCUUAAUGCCCAGGUUGGAUUGAGUGCCCUUUUUGUGUACUGAGUGCAUAUUUCAACCAGGCAUUUAUGUUUCAUGGGUCUGUACUUGCCUUUAGACUGUGAGCUUCUUGAGGAUGGAGGUUGUGUUCUUUUCCUCUCUGUGGAUGACCAGUACCCGGCCCAAUGAUGGCGUCCCUAAAUGCUAGUUGAACUGAGCUGAUGAAGUGUCUAUGUGGCAUCGGGAAAGCCUCUGGUUGUCUAUACUGAUUGUAGAAACUAGACAACUAACAAUGGAAUGAAAUGCUCUGAGAAAUUGGCUCGGCAGUGUUUUCUCAUUUGUGCUUAAUUUUUAUUUAGCAAUUUAGAAUAGUGAAAUAUUAGAAAUAAGCUAAAUGUUAAAUAUGCUAUGGUGCACCAACUCAAUAGAAUUUGAUGUAAUGAUUUUACCAUUUCUAUCAUGUUUAGUAUACACAAGUAACUAGAAAAGAAAAAUACCAUAAUGCCAAUUUAUCUGAAUGCUAUGGCUACAUAAAAAUAUAAUAACACAAAUCUUAGAACUACUUUUCCAAAUUACCUAAAUGUGUUAUUACUAUUUCAUAACUAAGAAAGGAUAGAUUCUGAAAAUCAUUCUUGUGCAGCACAAUUAUGAUCAUAGAUUUUAAGUGUUAAGUUUUCUGUUUUGUUUGAUUACAACCUGAAACCAUGUAUUGUUUCUCAGUCCUUGCUGUUGUACGCAUAGCAUGGUAUCUGCUCAUAAUUAAAAAGCAUGAAAGUUACUGAUUGAUGGAUUAAUAUUUAUUUAUUUUGGAAAUAUUGCAGGAGACUAGCUACUGACAUCAAUCUGAAUUGAUUUUAGCAUCACUGUGAUUUGUGCAGGGCACUUCCUUGUGAUACAGUGGCAUUGCACAUUAAGUGCUUAGGCUCUGGAAUUAAACAAACCUGGG